rnacentral:rRNA from 1 species
GGGUGACCGGCCCACACUGGGACUGAGACACGGCCCAGAUUCCUACGGGAGGCAGCAGUGGGGAAUAUUGCACAAUGGGCGAAAGCCUGAUGCAGCGACGCCGCGUGAGGGAUGACGGCCUUCGGGUUGUAAACCUCUUUCAGUAGGGAAGAAGCGAAAGUGACGGUACCUGCAGAAGAAGCGCCGGCUAACUACGUGCCAGCAGCCGCGGUAAUACGUAGGGCGCAAGCGUUAUCCGGAUUUAUUGGGCGUAAAGAGCUCGUAGGCGGUUUGUCGCGUCUGCCGUGAAAGUCCGAGGCUCAACCUCGGAUCUGCGGUGGGUACGGGCAGACUAGAGUGAUGUAGGGGAGACUGGAAUUCCUGGUGUAGCGGUGAAAUGCGCAGAUAUCAGGAGGAACACCGAUGGCGAAGGCAGGUCUCUGGGCAUUUACUGACGCUGAGGAGCGAAAGCAUGGGGAGCGAACAGGAUUAGAUACCCUGGUAGUCCAUGCCGUAAACGUUGGGCACUAGGUGUGGGGGACAUUCCACGUUUUCCGCGCCGUAGCUAACGCAUUAAGUGCCCCGCCUGGGGAGUACGGCCGCAAGGCUAAAACUCAAAGGAAUUGACGGGGGCCCGCACAAGCGGCGGAGCAUGCGGAUUAAUUCGAUGCAACGCGAAGAACCUUACCAAGGCUUGACAUGUGCCAGACCGCCUCAGAGAUGGGGUUUCCCUUCGGGGCUGGUUCACAGGUGGUGCAUGGUUGUCGUCAGCUCGUGUCGUGAGAUGUUGGGUUAAGUCCCGCAACGAGCGCAACCCUCGUUCCAUGUUGCCAGCACGUAGUGGUGGGGACUCAUGGGAGACUGCCGGGGUCAACUCGGAGGAAGGUGGGGAUGACGUCAAAUCAUCAUGCCCCUUAUGUCUUGGGCUUCACGCAUGCUACAAUGGCCGGUACAAUGGGUUGCGAUACUGUGAGGUGGAGCUAAUCCCUAAAAGCCGGUCUCAGUUCGGAUUGGGGUCUGCAACUCGACCCCAUGAAGUCGGAGUCGCU